rnacentral:rRNA from 1 species
GAUGAACGCUGGCGGCGUGCCUAAUACAUGCAAGUCGAGCGAACAGACGAGGAGCUUGCUCCUCUGACGUUAGCGGCGGACGGGCGAGUAACACGUGGAUAACCUACCUAUAUGACGGGGAUAACUUCGGGAAACCGGAGCUAAUACUGGAUAAUAUAUUGUACGGCAUGGAUCAAUAGUGAAUGACGGCUUUCCUGUCACUUAUAGAUGGAUCCGCGCCGGAUUAGCUAGUUGGUAAGGUAACGGCUUACCAAGGCGACGAUGCGUAGCCGAGCUGAGAGGAUGAUCGGCCACACUGGAACUGAGACACGGUCCAGACUCCUACGGGAGGCAGCAGUGGGGAAUCUUCGGCAAUGGGCGAAAGCCUGACGCAGCAACGCCGCGUGGGUGAUGAAGGUCUUCGGAUCGUAAAACUCUGUUGUUGGGGAAGAACAGAUGUGGGUGUAACUAUGGCCGUCUUGACGGUACCUAAACAGUAAGCCACGGCUAACUACGUG